AAAAAAUGAAACAAAAUGUUAAAUAAGAGAUGUGGUGGUGUUUGUAGGGAGGGAAAAUAGCGAAAAUUGACCCAGACUAUUUGGUGGCGGUAUUUUUAUAUCCAAACUACGAUAUCCGACAAAUAACAACCUAAACUCACAAAAAAAAAAAAUCCCCAACCUAAACAAUAUGAAAACAACCAAAAUCAACAUAUACUGAA
rnacentral:lncRNA from 1 species